rnacentral:rRNA from 1 species
AUACGGAGGGGGCUAGCGUUGUUCGGAAUUACUGGGCGUAAAGCGCGUGUAGGCGGAUCGUUAAGUCAGGGGUGAAAGCCCGGGGCUCAACCCCGGAACUACCCUUGAUACUGGCGAUCUAGAGUCCAGAAGAGGUGGGCGGAAUUCCCGGUGUAGAGGUGAAAUUCGUAGAUAUCGGGAGGAACACCAGUGGCGAAGGCGGCUCACUGGUCCGGUACUGACGCUGAGACGCGAAAGCGUGGGGAGCAAACAGGAUUAGAUACCCUAGUAGUCC